rnacentral:autocatalytically_spliced_intron from 1 species
AUUUGUAUGUAGACACGGAGCUAAACUGUGCAACAAAGAAACUGAACUACUGGGAACUCUUAAAGCCAGUAUAACCACAACAUAAUAUCUAAAUAAUAAUAUAUGGUAUAAGGUUAAAACCUAAGUACUAAGAUAAUAGACAAUCAGUAGCUGAGCCUGAAAAGGAAAGUUCAAUGACUAUCCUUCGUGAGGGGAGUACAAUACAAGUGAUUGGUAUUGGAAGUGGUUUUGCCUAAGGUGUUGAAAUACACUAUGGAUAAGAUAUAGUCUGUGCUUGUUAGAGAUAACAAG